rnacentral:rRNA from 1 species
AAUUCCCCUKCCUAACACAUGCAAGUCGAAACGAAGGAUUGUAGUAANUACGGUCUUAGUGGCGAACGGGUGAAGUAACGCGUGGGUGACCUGCCCCGAAGUGUGGGAUACCAGUCCGAAAGGACUGCUAAUACUGCAUAACAUCCAGGAGAUUAGAACCUGCUGGAUUAAAGGAUUUUUUCGCUUCGGGAGGGACCUGCGUCCCAUCAGCUAGUUGGUAAGGUAAUGGCUUACCAAGGCUACGACGGGUAGGGGACCUGAGAGGGUGGCCCCCCACACUGGCACUGAAACACGGGCCAGACACCUACGGGUGGCAGCAGUAGGGAAUAUUGCACAAUGGGCGAAAGCCUGAUGCAGCAACGCCGCGUGCGCGAUGAAGGCCUUCGGGUCGUAAAGCGCUUUUCGGGGAGAUGAGGAAGGACAGUAUCCCCGGAAUAAGUCUCGGCUAACUACGUGCCAGCAGCCGCGGUAAYAC